rnacentral:rRNA from 1 species
GCAGCUAUACAUGCAGUCGAACGGAGUAGCAAUACUCAGUGGCGAACGGCGGAGUAAUACGUGAACAACGUGCCCCAAAGACUGGGAUAGCCAGGGGAAACCCUGAGUAAUACCGGAUGUGGCAACGAGAUGGCAUCUUCUCGUUACUAAAUGGUUUUUCGCUUUGGGAGCAGUUCACGGCCUAUCAGGUAGUUGGUGAGGUAACGGCUCACCAAGCCGACGACGGGUAGGGGGUCUGAGAGGAUGAUCCCCCCGAGUGGGACUGAGACACGGCCCACACACCUACGGGUGGCAGCAGUUGGGAAUCUUGCACAAUGGGGGAAACCCUGAUGCAGCGACGCCGCGUGGAGGACGAAGGGUCUAGGCUCGUAAACUCCUUUUUUCGGGAAAGACUUAGGACGGUACCCGAAGAAUAAGCACCGGCUAACUACGUGCCAGCAGCCGCGGUAAGACGUAGGGUGCAAGCGUUGUCCGGAUUUACUGGGCGUAAAGAGCGCGUAGGCGGCUCGUUAAGUGAGAAGUGAAAGCUGUGGGCUCAACCCACAAACCGCUUUUCAUACUGGCGAGCUGGAGUGAUGCAGAGGUGGAUAGAAUUCCCGGUGUAGCGGUGAAAUGCGUUGAUAUCGGGAGGAAUACCCAUGGCGAAGGCAGUCCACUGGGCAUCAACUGACGCUGAGGCGCGAAAGCGUGGGUAGCAAACAGGAUUAGAUACCCUGGUAGUCCACGCCCUAAACGAUGGAUGCUAGGCGUAGGAGGUAUCGACCCCUCCUGUGCCGCAGCUAACGCACUAAGCAUCCCGCCUG